rnacentral:rRNA from 1 species
GACGAACGCUGGCGGCGUGCUUAACACAUGCAAGUGGUGCGACGAACCAGGCUUCGGCCUGGGGCAGGGCCGCGAACGGGUGAGUAACACGUGGGCAACCUGCCCUGUUGAUCGGGACAACCCGGGGAAACCCGGGCUAAUACCGAAUGUGGUGCCGGCUCAUGAGAGCCGUCACGAAAGGAAGCUUCGGCCUCCGCGACAGGAUGGGCCCGCGGCCUAUCAGCUUGUUGGUGAGGUAACGGCUCACCAAGGCUACGACGGGUAACCGGCCUGAGAGGGCGACCGGUCACACUGGGACUGAGACACGGCCCAGACUCCUACGGGAGGCAGCAGUGGGGAAUAUUGCGCAAUGGGCGAAAGCCUGACGCAGCGACGCCGCGUGAGGGAUGAAGGUCUUCGGAUCGUAAACCUCUUUCAGUAGGGACGAAGCGAAAGUGAUGGUACCUAAAGAAGAAGCACCGGCUAACUACGUGCCAGCAGCCGCAGUAA